GUAAAACAAUUUUAUCUGAAAAAAAUUACAACUUCUAGGGUUUCUUACUGCAUACGUUGAUCUUCUUUUAUGCUAGUUGUUUCAAAAGAACAACAACAUCUAUGGCUAUGUGGAAUAACAAGGUUCUAAGAAAACUCUCUUCUACAUCUAAAUUAUGCAUAUUGUAAAUGCUUCAAUAAGGAAUCUAUCAUUGUUGUGGCGUAUUUCCCUAAUUUUCAAGUGUCGGGCACGAAGACAAGAAGUAUCAAGAGGUAUGUUGUUAAUAUUUUGCUUAAUUAUUAGUUCUUUCAAGUUGAUGUCUAAAAAUUUUCAGAUCGUACGAUUUAUGUAACGUUGUACCUAUUUUUGAUAUUUUUUUAAGAGUCUUUAUUGAUAUUCUAUGAUACCGUGGAGUUGUACUGAUGGUCGGAGGAUGUUUCCAACUUUUCUUUCACUUUGUGCACUGUGAAUAAAUUUUUAUGCUUUACUUUUCAACUCUAACACAUUUAUAUUGAACUAUAUUUAUGUUGUUGUUUUUUUUAUAUAUGGUACCUUUUUCCUUAUCUUUUGGUUAAAAAAUAUGGAAAGAACAAUAAACCACUGCAAUGUGCAGCAGCUUGCUUUCACAAAAAAGGAAUAAAUUAUAAGACUCAUCCAAAUCAAUAUGCAUUCAAAAAUCACAGUUUUGAAAGGAAAAAUUAACGAAUCCCAUUUAAUAGAUAGCAAGAAAAAACUGCAACAAUAUGCUGGUAAAUUUCAUGAUUUGUAGCAUUUCAGUCUCUGGUGAUUUCUUAUUUCUCUGAAUUUUUACUAAGUUUCUGGAGAUAUAGUUUUUGGGAGAUUCAUGUUUUGAUUGAACAGUGACAAAUACUUAUAAUAAACCUCAGAUAAUUAAAAAGUUCAUCUCAUUUGGAACAUUAACAAAUUUUGUGUUCUAACUAAUGUUGUCGGGGCUUAUGGAUGUUUUUGUUAUUGGUUUGCUCGAAGAAUCUGAUAGUGGCUUACGGCUUAACAACUUGAAAUAUAAUUUAUGGAAUAUUUUGGAUAGAAGAAUGAAUUUGGUGGAAGGUAACCUGAAUUUUGAUUUGGUGGAGGGGACAUCAGGUUAUUUUUUUUUACAGAAAUUUGCUUUUACAUGUUUGAGAAUCUCCACACAUGAUCAUUAAUUAUCUAUUUUUUUAAUUUUUUUGCUUUUACUUCACUUCAACAGUUAAACUCCCGAAUUGCAUAAAUUGAUAUCGUUGCUCUUAUUCGUCAUUUUUUUUUUGUAUUCAAAACUCUUAGGUGAAUGCAGUAGAUGGCAAGGAGGGGGUUUGGAAGAAGGGGUGGUAUUUUCAAUCCCUUCUCAUUGGAUAUAUGGGAAGAUACAGGAGCAAUGGAUGUAGUUAAUGCGGACUAUUAGCUAUAAAGAUCAAUUACAUCACGGCAUUUUAUGAUAACAAACUAUAAAAAAAAACAGACAUACAAGAAAGACG
rnacentral:lncRNA from 1 species